UACGGAGGGAGCUAGCGUUGUUCGGAAUUACUGGGCGUAAAGCGCACGUAGGCGGCUUUUUAAGUCAGGGGUAAAAUCCCGGAGCUCAACUCCGGAACUGCCCUUGAAACUGGGAAGCUAGAAUCUUGGAGAGGCGAGUGGAAUUCCGAGUGUAGAGGUGAAAUUCGUAGAUAUUCGGAAGAACACCAGUGGCGAAGGCGACUCGCUGGACAAGUAUUGACGCUGAGGUGCGAAAGCGUGGGGAGCAAACAGG
rnacentral:rRNA from 1 species